AUACGGAGGGUGCGAGCGUUAUCCGGAUUUAUUAGGUUUAAAGGGUGUGUAGGCGGGAGCCUAAGUCAGUGGUGAAAUCUCACAGCUUAACUGUGAAACUGCCAUUGAAACUGGGUUUCUUGAGUAUAGUUGAGGUAGGCGGAAUGUGUAAUGUAGCGGUGAAAUGCAUAGAUAUUACACAGAACACCGAUUGCGAAGGCAGCCUACUAAGCUAUUACUGACGCUGAUGCACGAAAGCGUGGGUAGCGAACAGGAUUAGAAACCCCAGUAGUCC
rnacentral:rRNA from 1 species